CAAACUGGGAUUAGAUACCCCACUAUGCUUAGCCCUAAACCUAGAUAGUUAGCUCAAACAAAACUAUCCGCCAGAGAACUACUAGCAACAGCUUAAAACUCAAAGGACUUGGCGGUGCUUUAUAUCCCUCUAGAGGAGCCUGUUCUAUAAUCGAUAAACCCCGAUAAACCUCACCAUCUCUUGCUAAUUCAGCCUAUAUACCGCCAUCUUCAG
rnacentral:rRNA from 1 species